rnacentral:rRNA from 1 species
UACGUAGGGUGCGAGCGUUGUCCGGAAUUAUUGGGCGUAAAGAGCUUGUAGGCGGUUUGUCGCGUCUGCCGUGAAAAUCCGGGGCUCAACCCCGGACUUGCGGUGGGUACGGGCAGACUAGAGUGUGGUAGGGGAGACUGGAAUUCCUGGUGUAGCGGUGAAAUGCGCAGAUAUCAGGAGGAACACCGAUGGCGAAGGCAGGUCUCUGGGCCACUACUGACGCUGAGAAGCGAAAGCGUGGGGAGCGAACCGG